rnacentral:tRNA from 14 species
AAGGCCUUAGUUUAACAAAAACAUUUGAUUUGCAAUUAGAAAAUGCAAGAUAGAGUCUUGUAGGUCUUA